rnacentral:rRNA from 1 species
UAUUUGAAAUCUGGCCCCCCCGGGGGGCCCGAGUUGUAAUUUGCAGAGGAUGCUUUGGGCGAGGCGCCUUCCGAGUUCCCUGGAACGGGACGCCACAGAGGGUGAGAGCCCCGUCUGGUCGGACGCCGAGCCUCUGUAAAGCUCCUUCGACGAGUCNAGUANUUUGGGAAUGCUGCUCAAAAUGGGAGGUAUAUGUCUUCUAAAGCUAAAUACCGGCCAGAGACCGAUAGCGCACAAGUAGAGUGAUCGAAAGAUGAAAAGCACCUUGAAAAGGGGGUUAAACAGUACGUGAAAUUGUUGAAAGGGAAGCGCUCGUGACCAGACUUGGGGCGGGCGNAUCANCCGGCGUUCUCGCCGGCGCACUCCGCCCGUCCCAGGCCAGCAUCAGUUCGCGCCGGGGGACAAAGGCGGCGGGAACGUGGCUCCCCAGGGAGUGUUAUAGCCCGCCGCGCCAUGCCCCGGGGGCGGACUGAGGGCCGCGCAUCACUGCAAGGAUGCUGGCGUAAUGGUCACCAGCGACCCGUCUUGAAACACGGGCCAAGGAGUCGUCCUCGUAUGCGAGUGUUCGGGUGUCAAACCCCUACGCGGAAUGAAAGUGAACGUGGGUGAGAGCUUCGGCGCAUCAUCGACCGAUCCUGAUGUUCUCGGAUGGAUUUGAGUAGGAGCAUACGGGGCCGGACCCGAAAGAAGGUGAACUAUGCCUGUGUAGGGUGAAGCCAGAGGAAACUCUGGUGGAGGCUCGCAGCGGUUCUGACGUGCAAAUCGAUCGUCAAA